rnacentral:rRNA from 1 species
AUGAGAGUGGCGCACGGGUGCGUAACGCGUGAGCAACCUACCCAUAUCAGGGGGAUAGCCUCUCGAAAGAGAGAUUAACACCGCAUAACAUCAUUAACCGGCAUCGGAUUAUGAUCAAAUAUUUAUAGGAUAUGGAUGGGCUCGCGUGACAUUAGCUAGUUGGAGAGGUAACGGCUCACCAAGGCUACGAUGUCUAGGGGCUCUGAGAGGAGAAUCCCCCACACUGGUACUGAGACACGGACCAGACUCCUACGGGAGGCAGCAGUAAGGAAUAUUGGUCAAUGGAGGCAACUCUGAACCAGCCAUGCCGCGUGCAGGAUGACUGCCCUAUGGGUUGUAAACUGCUUUUGUCAGGGAAUAAACCUUUCUACGUGUAGAAAGCUGAAUGUACCUGAAGAAUAAGGAUCGGCUAACUCCGUGCCAGCAGCCGCGGUAAUACGGAGGAUCCAAGCGUUAUCCGGAUUUAUUGGGUUUAAAGGGUGCGUAGGCGGUCCUAUAAGUCAGUGGUGAAAGACGGCAGCUUAACUGUCGCAGUGCCUUUGAUACUGUAGGACUUGAAUCUAUUUGAAGUGGGCGGAAUAAGACAAGUAGCGGUGAAAUGCAUAGAUAUGUCUUAGAACUCCGAUUGCGAAGGCAGCUCACUAAGUUAGUAUUGACGCUGAUGCACGAAAGCGUGGGGAUCAAACAGGAUUAGAUACCCUGGUAGUCCACGCCCUAAACGAUGAUAACUCGAUGUUUGCGAUACACAGUAAGCGUCCAAGCGAAAGCGUUAAGUUAUCCACCUGGGGGAGUACGGUCGCAAGAUUGAAACUCAAAGGAAUUGACGGGGGCCCGCACAAGCGGAGGAGCAUGUGGUUUAAUUCGAUGAUACGCGAGGAACCUUACCCGGGCUUGAAAGUUAGUGAAUGAUCCAGAGACGGAUCAGUCCUUCGGGACACGAAACUAGGUGCUGCAUGGCUGUCGUCAGCUCGUGCCGUGAGGUGUUGGGUUAAGUCC